rnacentral:rRNA from 1 species
UUGAUCCUGGCUCAGGACGAACGCUGGCGGCGUGCCUAAGCUUAUGCAAGUCGAACGCGAAAGGCUCCUUCGGGAGCCGAGUAGAGUGGCAGACGGGUGAGUAACGCGUGGGUAACGUGCCCCAAUCCUGGGAAUAACCCUCGGAAACGAGGGCUAAUACCGAAUGUGGCCCCCGAUCGGAUGAUCGGUGGCUAAAGGUGGCCUCUUCUAUGCUGCCGGGUUGGGAUCGGCCCGCGUCCCGUUAGCUAGUUGGUGAGGUAACGGCCCACCAAGGCAACGAUGGGUAGCCGGCCUGAGAGGGUGUCCGGCCACACUGGCACUGAGACAAGGGCCAGUCCCCUAUGGGAGGCGCAGGCGGGAAUAGUUCCCAAUGGACGAAAGUCUGAGGACGCGACGCCGCGUGAGCGAAGAAGGCCUUCGGGUUGUAAAGCUCUGUCAGGAGGGAAGAAGGCGCUGGGUGUUAAUAGCACCAAGCGUUGACGGUACUUCCAGAGGAAGCCCCGGCUAAAUACGUGCCAGCAGCCGCGGUAAUACGUAUGGGGCAAGCGUUGUCCGGAUUAACUGGGCGUAAAGGGCACGCAGGCGGUUCGUUUAGUCGAAGGUGAAAUCCCUGGGCUCAACUCAGGAACUGCCUUCGAUACUGGCGAACUAGAGUGGCGUAGAGGAAAGCGGAACUCCUGGUGUAACGGUGGAAUGUGUAGAUAUCAGGAGGAACACCGGUGGCGAAGGCGGCUUUCUGGACGCACACUGACGCUCAGGUGCGAAAGCGUGGGUAGCAAACAGGAUUAGAUACCCUGGUAGUCCACGCCGUAAACGAUGGGUACUAGGUGUCGGGGGUAUCGAUCCCCUC